UACGAAGGGGGCUAGCGUUGCUCGGAAUCACUGGGCGUAAAGGGUGCGUAGGCGGGUCUUUAAGUCAGGGGUGAAAUCCUGGAGCUCAACUCCAGAACUGCCUUUGAUACUGAAGAUCUUGAGUUCGGGAGAGGUGAGUGGAACUGCGAGUGUAGAGGUGAAAUUCGUAGAUAUUCGCAAGAACACCAGUGGCGAAGGCGGCUCACUGGCCCGGUACUGACGCUGAGGUGCGAAAGCGUGGGGAGCCAAACAGG
rnacentral:rRNA from 1 species